UGGCCAGCUGUUUCCUCUCUUU
rnacentral:miRNA from 1 species